rnacentral:piRNA from 1 species
UUCCUACCUCAAAUGUCUAGA